rnacentral:lncRNA from 10 species
GUCUACACAGAGAAACUGAAAUCUGGUUAGUCAAGAAGGAAAAAACAACCAAGUGCCUGGCAUUAAGAGGAUUUUUUUUUUAAGCUCAGCCUAUGGACAACAAAAGCAUGGACUGUAUUUCUCAGCAUCUUUUGCAGGAUGAGGAAACUGGAGCCCAGGUAGCCAUUUUGGACCUGAAGGUGGAAGUCAAGCUAGGGAGAGCAAACAACACGUGUGUGGAUCCCUGAUGAUCAGGUCAUCCUAAUCCUGAACUGCUUUCCUCUGGUCUCUUUAACAGGAGAGACCAGAGGAAAACCAUGAGAGAGAGGUAAUUUUCUAUCCCACUUAAGCCACUAUUGUACUUUGGACUUUCUUGUCAUGUACAGCCAAGCCUAAUUAUAACUAAUAAAACAUGCAAUUGAAAGACAAAAA